UGUGAUUCGUCACACUAUCAUUAACUGAAUCCAUAGGUUAAUGAGGCGAACCGGGGGAACUGAAACAUCUAAGUACCCCGAGGAAAAGAAAUCAACCGAGAUUCCCCCAGUAGCGGCGAGCGAACGGGGAGGAGCCCAGAGCCUGAAUCAGCAUGUGUGUUAGUGGAAGCGUCUGGAAAGGCGCGCGAUACAGGGUGACAGCCCCGUACACAAAAGCGCAUGUGCUGUGAGCUCGAUGAGUAGGGCGGGACACGUGGUAUCCUGUCUGAAUAUGGGGGGACCAUCCUCCAAGGCUAAAUACUCCUGACUGACCGAUAGUGAACCAGUACCGUGAGGGAAAGGCGAAAAGAACCCCGGCGAGGGGAGUGAAAAAGAACCUGAAACCGUGUACGUACAAGCAGUGGGAGCACAGGUUUACCUGUGUGACUGCGUACCUUUUGUAUAAUGGGUCAGCGACUUAUAUUCUGUAGCAAGGUUAACCGAAUAGGGGAGCCGGAGGGAAACCGAGUCUUAAUUGGGCGUUAAGUUGCAGGGUAUAGACCCGAAACCCGGUGAUCUAGCCAUGGGCAGGUUGAAGGUUGGGUAACACUAACUGGAGGACCGAACCGACUAAUGUUGAAAAAUUAGCGGAUGACCUGUGGCUGGGGGUGAAAGGCCAAUCAAACCGGGAGAUAGCUGGUUCUCCCCGAAAGCUAUUUAGGUAGCGCCUCGUGAAUUCAUCUCCGGGGGUAGAGCACUGUUUCGGCUAGGGGGCCAUCCCGGCUUACCAACCCGAUGCAAACUGCGAAUACCGGAGAAUGUUAUCACGGGAGACACACGGCGGGUGCUAACGUCCGUCGUGAAGAGGGAAACAACCCAGACCGCCAGCUAAGGUCCCAAAGUCAUGGUUAAGUGGGAAACGAUGUGGGAAGGCCCAGACAGCCAGGAUGUUGGCUUAGAAGCAGCCAUCAUUUAAAGAAAGCGUAAUAGCUCACUGGUCGAGUCGGCCUGCGCGGAAGAUGUAACGGGGCUAAACCAUG
rnacentral:rRNA from 1 species